rnacentral:rRNA from 1 species
CACGUAGGGGGCAAGCGUUGUCCGGAUUCAUUGGGCGUAAAGAGCUCGUAGGCGGUUCGAUAAGUCGGGUGUGAAACCUCCAGGCUCAACCUGGAGACGCCACCCGAUACUGUCGUGACUAGAGUCCAGUAGGGGAGCGUGGAAUUCCUGGUGUAGCGGUGAAAUGCGCAGAUAUCAGGAGGAACACCAGCGGCGAAGGCGGCGCUCUGGGCUGGAACUGACGCUGAGGAGCGAAAGCGUGGGGAGCAAACGGG